rnacentral:rRNA from 1 species
CUACGUGCCAGCAGCCGCGGUAAUACGUAGGUGGCAAGCGUUGUCCGGAAUUAUUGGGCGUAAAGCGCGCGCAGGCGGAUUGGUCAGUCUGUCCUAAAAGUUCGGGGCUUAACCCCGUGAUGGGAUGGAAACUGCCAAUCUAGAGUAUCGGAGAGGAAAGUGGAAUUCCUAGUGUAGCGGUGAAAUGCGUAGAUAUUAGGAAGAACACCAGUGGCGAAGGCGACUUUCUGGACGAAAACUGACGCUGAGGCGCGAAAGCCAGGGGAGCGAACGGGAUUAGAUACCCCGGUAGUCCUGGCCGUAAACGAUGGGUACUAGGUGUAGGAGGUAUCGACCCCUUCUGUGCCGGAGUUAACGCAAUAAGUACCCCGCCUGGGGAGUACGACCGCAAGGUUGAAACUCAAAGGAAUUGACGGGGGCCCGCACAAGCGGUGGAGUAUGUGGUUUAAUUCGACGCAACGCGAAGAACCUUACCAGGUCUUGACAUUGAUGGACAGAACUAGAGAUAG